rnacentral:rRNA from 1 species
AGCUUGCUGGGGGGAUUAGUGGCGAACGGGUGAGUAACACGUGAGUAACCUGCCCUUGACUCUGGGAUAAGCCUGGGAAACUGGGUCUAAUACCGGAUAUGACCUUCUGCCGCAUGGUGGGGGGUGGAAAGCCUUGUGCGGUUUUGGAUGGACUCGCGGCCUAUCAGCUUGUUGGUGGGGUAAUGGCCUACCAAGGCGACGACGGGUAGCCGGCCUGAGAGGGUGACCGGCCACACUGGGACUGAGACACGGCCCAGACUCCUACGGGAGGCAGCAGUGGGGAAUAUUGCACAAUGGGCGGAAGCCUGAUGCAGCGACGCCGCGUGAGGGAUGACGGCCUUCGGGUUGUAAACCUCUUUCAGUAGGGAAGAAGCCGCAAGGUGACGGUACCUGCAGAAGAAGCGCCGGCUAACUACGUGCCAGCAGCCGCGGUAAUACGUAGGGCGCAAGCGUUAUCCGGAAUUAUUGGGCGUAAAGAGCUCGUAGGCGGUUUGUCGCGUCUGCCGUGAAAGUCCGGGGCUCAACCCCGGUUCUGCGGUGGGUACGGGCAGACUAGAGUGAUGUAGGGGAGACUGGAAUUCCUGGUGUAGCGGUGAAAUGCGCAGAUAUCAGGAGGAACACCGAUGGCGAAGGCAGGUCUCUGGGCAUUAACUGACGCUGAGGAGCGAAAGCAUGGGGAGCGAACAGGAUUAGAUACCCUGGUAGUCCAUGCCGUAAACGUUGGGCACUAGGUGUGGGGGACAUUCCACG